rnacentral:rRNA from 1 species
UUUCGCAAUGCCCGAAAGGGUGACGAAGCGACGCCGCGUGUGGGAAGAAGGCCUUCGGGUUGUAAACCACUGUCGGGAGUUAGGAAAUGUAAGGGUGCUAAUAGUAUCCUUGCUUGACUAAGGCUCCGGAGGAAGCCACGGCUAACUCUGUGCCAGCAGCCGCGGUAAUACAGAGGCGGCAAGCGUUGUUCGGAAUUAUUGGGCGUAAAGAGCACGCAGGCGGCCUUGUAAGUCAGUUGUGAAAGCCUUCUGCUUAACGGAAGAACAGCAGCUGAUACUGCAAGGCUAGAGUGCGGAAGGGGAGAGUGGAACUUCUGGUGGAGCGGUGAAAUGCGUAGAUAUCAGAAGGAACACCGGCGGCGAAGGCGACUCUCUGGUCCGUAACUGACGCUGAGUGUGCGAAAGCUAGGGGAGCAAACGGGAUUAGAUACCCCGGUAGUCCUAGCCGUAAACGAUGGGCACUAAGUAGAGGGGUUUUA